UACGGGGGGAGCAAGCGUUGUUCGGAUUUACUGGGCGUAAAGGGCGCGUAGGCGGCCACUGCAAGUCGGUUGUGAAAUCUCCGGGCUUAACCCGGAAAGGUCAACCGAUACUGCAGGCUAGAGUGCAGAAGGGGCAACUGGAAUUCUCGGUGUAGCGGUGAAAUGCGUAGAUAUCGAGAGGAACACCUGCGGCGAAGGCGGGUUGCUGGGCUGACACUGACGCUGAUGCGCGAAAGCUAGGGGAGCGAACGGG
rnacentral:rRNA from 1 species